UUUUUUAGAAAUGAAUUUAAUUCAUACAUCUUAUUUAAUUUCUGUUUUUUGUUAUUAAUUUUUAUUGGAUGUUAAUAUUAAGGGGGAUUAGCUCCUUAUUAUAUGCUUAUAAUUUUUCUUUGUAUUUAUUUUUGUGGAUUUUAUAGUGAUUUUCAAUUUGAUUAUGUUAAAAUUUUAUUUGUUCUUUUGUUUAUUUUUUGGAAUUUAAUUUAUUUAUUGAAAUGUUUUCUUUAUCUUUUUUUGUAUUUUAAUUAUUGUGUAAUUAGUAAAUCUUGUUUUUAUGUGGUUUUAUUAUUUGGUUGAUAAUCUUCUUUUAGGAAUUCGGCAAAUUAUCAUUUCCGCCUGUUUAACAAAAACAUCUUUUCUUGUUAGUUUUUGAAGUAUGGCCUGCCCACUGACUUAUUUUGUUGAAGGGCCGCGGUAUUUUGACCGUGCAAAGGUAGCAUAAUCAUUAGUUCUUUAAUUGUGAUCUGGUAUGAAUGGCUUGACGAGACAUGAGCUGUCUUAGAGGUGUUGGAUUUAUUGAAUUUGGUUUUUGAGUUAAAAUUCUUAGAUGUUUUUAUGGGACGAGAAGACCCUAUAGAGUUUUACAUUUAAUUUUAUGUUAUUUUAGUUUGUUUAUUGAUUUGUUAGGAUUUAUUGUUUUGUUGGGGUGAUGGGAGGAAUAAGUGUAACUCCUCUUUAUUUUUUUAUACUUAUUUGUAUUUGUUUUGAUCC
rnacentral:rRNA from 1 species